rnacentral:lncRNA from 1 species
AAGUACGUCUUCCUUUUUUGAAMUGUAUAAAACUCUAGACUUGGAGCUGCAGAAGACUAAUGGAUAUGUUGUGAUUUUGGCUUCAGUCUCAGCCUGAGGACUAAAUAACGGUCUUUAGGCUUGCUCCUGUGGGAUGCUC